rfam:Candidatus Taylorbacteria bacterium RIFCSPHIGHO2_02_FTLL_43_32b rifcsphigho2_02_scaffold_2436, whole genome shotgun sequence.
CGGGAUGUAGUAUAGUGGUCGUAUGCACCCUUCGGGAGGGUGAGGCCCGAGUUCGAUUCUCGGCAUCCCGA